rnacentral:rRNA from 1 species
UCUGCUUGGAGUGGGAAUACGUGAACAGCCGCUAAUACCGCAUGAUACAGCUAUCCCGCAUGGGUUGCUGUCAAAGAUUUAUCGCUCUGAGAUGAGCUCGCGUCUGAUUAGCUUGUUGGCGGGGUAACGGCCCACCAAGGCGACGAUCAGUAGCCGGACUGAGAGGUUGGCCGGCCACAUUGGGACUGAGACACGGCCCAGACUCCUACGGGAGGCAGCAG